rnacentral:lncRNA from 1 species
UGACUUUGACUGUAAGCUUGAAAUAAUAAUCUUCUACAUACCUACGUAAUCUAAAAUGGGGAAAAAUGAAGUCAACAUCUUUGUGUUGACGAGGUUGGAGGGACAAUUGAUGAAUACUAGUCGAAAGACGUCCAUGAGAACCAAAGUAAACAUCUGCUGUCCCAUUAAGCACAUCCAAAUUCAAUAUAGAAUUUGGAUUGUAAAACAAAUACGAAAAACUCACAUUUAAAGGUUCACGGCUACCAUUCGGUUUAAAACCGAUGAUAUUUGCCGUGAAAGGAUGCAAGACGACUUUUUGUGAGUUAUAUUUCAUAUAAGUAUAGGCUGAUAUGGAAAGAACAAAUAAAAUAAGAAAACAAACAUAAAAAAUAUAAGGAAUGAUACUGAAAUGAUGAUGAUUACGAGGAGGAGGAGGAGGGGGGAUUAUAUUUUCCGGUGGGACAUGGAUAUUUUCCAGUGGGACAUUAUUUGGGGGAAUAUCUAUCAAUUCCCCCUCGGCAUCCUCGUAUUUUCCAAUGGGACAUUAUUUGGGGGAAUAUCUAUCAAUUCCCCCUCGGCAUCCUCGUCUAUCUCGUAAACAUACGAGUGUCUGUCACAAUCUUCAUCGCUAGAGUCCGAAGUCUCAACUAUAAAACAAAAAAGAAUAAUAUUAAAAAAGUUGUCAAUGAGUAUAAUUACUUUAACUUAAUACAAGUGUUAUGAUCAUUGUAUUCUUUUCUCUAUUGUAUAUAAUAUACUUACAUAUGCUAAUACAAGCUGGUUUUAGUGAAAACUGCUUUGUUUUUACUAUUAUUAAAAUAUAUCAAAUUAUUUCUUUAUUGACAUUAAUACGUUGUUUGUAAAUAAUAAAAACUUAUAAUAUUUAAAGUGUUGCAUUUUAUUUUGUAGAAAAACUUACAGUAGUACAUGCGAGUCAUCUCAAUUUCCUUUUUCGUGCCACUCGUACUGGCUUCAUGAUCGUUCAUCUUUUUUUCCUGUAAAAAACAGUAUAAAUUUAGAUAUAAAAGUGUAAAAUACACAUGCAAUUUAAUAGCCGACACAUACCUAGAGCUUCUCCUCAUCAUAAAUUAAUAAUAAUUCACAUCAAAAAGCCAAACAACUUCGCGAAAUCUUUAGCAAAUUAAGUCAAUAGUUUACUGUAUUCUGAUUUCAUAUCAUAAGCUAACCAAAACAUGUAAACAUACAUCUAUAAAAAGGUGAUGGUAAGAAAUAAAUUCGCAAAAAUCGAAUAAUUAUUACAGAACCUUUUGAAUUAAUAUAAAUUCUUUUGAAAAGAUUUUAUAUUAAAAUUUGUGAGGUUGAAAAACAAUUUUUUUUAAGACUAGUUUAGUCCAAAUUAUUGCUUCAAUUGUUAUUAAAAAAAUGAUCAAACAAACUUUUUAUCAAAUUUUCAAUAAAAUUAUUUGAUUAAAGGAGCACUAAAUAUAUGUGAAAUAUGCCAGCUACGUAAAUAUUCAAAGAAUAAUAUAAAAUUUUGGUAUUUAUUAACCAUGCGAUUUGGUUAGAGAAAAACUAUAAAAAAAAAAAAAAAGAGCCUGAAUGAUGGGGUGUUUCUCUAACCAUCAUUACCAUCAGCGGCGCCAGUACAGUACCUGAAUGUAGUCCCCCGUCCUUUCUUUCUGGGUCUCACAGAAAACGCUAGCGGCCGUGCGAACCUUAUUUUGUUAGAAAUUGUGUUCUUGAUUAGCCCUCUCGGUCGGCCCUGCUUUACUUAUUUUCUCAAUACAAAGAGGCUGAUGUGUGGGAUGGGUUCAAGGCAAAAGACCUCAUGAAGCAAGCAGUUAGGGCAUGGAAUUCAAGUUACGCUGGUGCAAGUUCCUCCUCUUCUGGAACCUAUUUUGUGGAGUUUCCGGAUGAAGACUUGGAAGAAUCUCAUGCAGCCAUUGAUGUGGAGCUAAUGGAAGUCGCUCAGGUCCUUGCAGAAUGGUCCCAAAAUUUCAAGUGGCAACUAGAUCUCUCAGGGUGUCUGUUUCUCUAGUAUUUAGCUAUUAAGUUUCCCAGUGUUUGUCUUUAGCUUUAUGCUGUCUUUUGUGGUCUGGUAUCUAUGUUGUCUUAGUUUUCUUCUCAGUGGUUCGUUUGCUGCUUUGAUCGAGAGUGCUGGUUGUAUCGAUCGAGUGGCUUUCCCUUUGUUCUAUUUUCGUUCUUAAUGGAAAUUUCGAUUUAUAAGAAAAAAAACUCUCGCACGUUAGAGCAAGGAAGCAACGCCACCCCGUGUUAUGUCAUGUAAGAAUUGAGCUUAUUGCUAGAG